GCCCCGCCCCCACCUCGGGCUCUGGGCAGGAAACACCUAUGCCCCACGAACACCCACAUCCUCUGCCGAGCCCUGGAUGGGCUUCCUGACUCGGGGUGCGCAGCUUCCCGUUUCUUUGAGCUUCGGUUUCCUCAUCUGGAGGGAGUCAUCUGUCAGCUCUGUGGAUGGGUCCCGGGUUGAGCCACAGAGGCUGUGUGGUCCACUGUGCUGGCCUUAAGGAUGGAUGAGGGGAAAGCAGUCCCCAGAGGCAAGGUGCUCUCGGUCAGAGUCGCACAGCUUGGCCACGGCGAUGUGAUACAGCUAUAUCUCUCUCAUGCGUGCCUGAGGGUGAGGGCGGGUGGCAGCCCCUUAGUUGUAGUCUUUGUUUGCAGGUGGCUGGAGCCCUGGGCAGGCUUUUGGCAGAGAGAAACACGUGGCCGUUUGAGAGUUCACUGUUCACUGGAACCUGUGAGGGAGAACUGUGGGUACCUGCUGCCCACAUGCACUAGACACGAGGUAGCUGCCACGCAGGUCCCCGUCUGCUCUGUGCCUCGUUUCCCAGGUGUAGAUCUGAUGUGAGCACCACCUCGUGGUUUUAGAGGGCAGCUUCUAUCAUUGGCCACCCCCAAGGGUCACUGGGACAAUGGUAUCUGCUUCUGGCCACACAAAAGACUUUGUUCAAGGUCACAGCUUGGGUGAGCUGGGACUAGCCCAGCCCCUCCAGGCAUUCCUGUGGAGGAAGGAAGGGUGUGGGUAGAGGGCUGUGGUCCUGGGGUGAGGAGGUCUUGUGGGCAGGAGGCAGCGAGUGAGCUGCUCUGCCCUGCUGGGCACUAUCCUUUGUGAAGGAGCUGUCACACUGGUCUGGAGCUCAGGGACCUGGACCCUUGUCCCUGUCCCUACAGUGAUGGAUGUGAAACAGAUGGGCUUAGUCAUGGACCCAUGGAAGACUCCCUAGAUUUUCCCUAAGCAGCAGCAGCAGCAGCCACCAAGUCAGUCUGAAGCCUAGUUGUCCCCUGCGUUACCCCGAGAUAGCCUCCACAGGAAAUACAAGCCCAGAGAGGGACAUGACUAAUCAGGAGCCACACAGCUAACAAGAGACCCACUUCAUGACCCCACCCCCACCCCCCAGGCUUUGACUUGGCAGCUGUGAAUGGGGUAGAAGGGUAGGUGAGUCCUUCUGGGGAAGGUUUCCCAGGGGAAGGCUUGAAUAUGUUCUAGGUCUUGGCUGUGGCCAGUCUGUUGGGGGGAGGGGGUGUCUUACUUUAGCUCUGCUGCAUGCUGUGUGACCUUGAGAAAGAGAACAAACUGCUCUGUGUUUGUUUCCCCUACACACAGGAUGCAGAUCUUCACAACGCUUAUGUCCAAGGGUUCUGGUGAGAACAGAAUGAAGUAGCUGCACUGCGGCACACUCUGUGCUCACUGAAGAACAUGGAGGGGGUGCACACACCUGUGAUACCAUGUGGCAGAAGGAAACCAUCUGCCAGUGGUACUUAGGGAGCAUGGAGAGCCCAAGGCUGGGGUGUGGCCCCAGUGGCACCCUGGGGAGCCACCCCUCGCACCUGUGACAAGAGAGAGGCUGGAGAUGCAGAAGAGUCUGAGACCAUCUGAAGGAAUCCUGUGGAUCUGCUAAUAAACAUGCAAAGGGGAAGCUUCACGGCCCUGGGCAAGGACUAGCAGCGUCUACACAUGUGCUGCCUGCUGCAUAGGGCUUUGCUCAGAGCCUCCGUGCUUCCCCGACUGGGAGUGCUACUCUGACACACCCCCUCAAUGUCUGUGGCUUGGCGCAGGCAUAAAAAAAAAUCAAACCACUGUCCCCUGAACUGCUCAAGAUCCUCUGCUUUUUUUCUUUUCCACUAAGGAGACUAAUAAAUGGCCAGCCACUUGACGUGAUCA